GUCGCUUUAGCUCACUUGGGAGAGCGCCAGACUGAAGUCCUCAGUCACUAAAUCUGGAGGUACUGUGUUCGAUCCACAGAAGCGACA
rnacentral:tRNA from 1 species